GGCAAUGAGUGGACCUGCGGCUUAUUUGACUCAACACGGGAAAACUCACCGGGACAAGAUACAUGUAUGAAGGACAGACUGCGUGAUCUUUCCCAAUAAUGUAAGUGGUGGUGCAUGGCCGUUCUUAGUUCGUGGAUUGAUCUGUCUGGUUGAUUCCGAUAACGAGCGAGACCUUAGCAAUCUUAAUAGGGGUGACCCAGCCAGGCUCGGCAUCUCCUACUCUGGCUGCAGGCCUGUUUCUUUUUUCCUGGACUCUUACUCCUGGGCUCUCGGGCCUGGGGGUAGGGGCCCGGGGGAAGAGGGCAGAACCGGGCUGGAAGUGGGGGUGCCAGGACAGCUGACACCUAUGAACGACAGUUUCUUCUUAGAUGGAUCGAGGCCGAAGAGGUAUCUGAAAUAAGGCAAUAACAGGUCAGUGAUGCCCUUAGAUGUUCCGGGCCGCACGCGCGUUACAAUGGCAGGUAAAGCAGGCGGCGCCGACAGUUCUGUCUCGAAAAAAGACAGGGCUUCGGCCUAUCCCAGUGCCUAAGGGCGUUCUGGCAACCCUUAGGGCCUGCCUCGACUGGGAUAGUCUAUUGUAAUUAUUGGUCUUAAACGAGGAAUUUUUAGUAUUCGCUGGUCAUUAGCCCGCGACGAAUCAGUCCCUGCCCUUUGUACACACCGCCCGUCGGC
rnacentral:rRNA from 1 species